rnacentral:rRNA from 1 species
ACAUGCCUUAUAGUGGAGGAUAGCCUUUCGAAAGGAAGAUUAAUACCGCAUAAGAUUGUAGUAUCGCAUGAUAUAGCAAUUAAAGGAGCAAUCCGCUAUAAGAUGGACCCGCGUCGCAUUAGCUAGUUGGUGAGGUAAUGGCUCACCAAGGCGACGAUGCGUAGCCGACCUGAGAGGGUGAUCGGCCACAUUGGGACUGAGACACGGCCCAGACUCCUACGGGAGGCAGCAUG